UUUGUAUUGUGGAACCGCAGAGAAGACACGCUGAACUUUGCGCAUACACGCUUGUAAACUAAGUGCGGCGGUUAAAGUUGCAAGAAUAUGAAAUCAGAGUUGGAUGAUAUCACGCACCUACGGACACCAAGGUGCACCAUUCUCUCGCAGCAGCAGCACACUGAUAACCUAAACUUCAUACUCCUGCUUUGCCGGAGUAAGGAGAGUUACGCCCUCCUCUCAGCCGAUUGGUUCAUAUCCCUGCUGGAAUGCGUUUGUCAGGUUUUAAAUGGAUGUGGCUGGUGUCAUUCUGGCCAGACAAAACGAUGCCUCGUGGGUUGGACCUCGUCAGGGUGAAUAAGCAAUUCACUCGCUCAAGACCAUUCCUGGAAAUGAGAAGAAGCAAUCAGAAGUGCAGCUGUGUAUAAGAGUCCUUCUGGUAUUCUGACUGGAGAAAAGCUUUGUCUCCCUCUCGUGGUUUGCGUUGCGGAGAGCUCUACAUCAUCAGCAGUCAUCACACCCUGCCUUCGGUCCUUCAUGUGUCAGAGCAGAGCAUUCUCCUCCGACUGCUGACAAGCCCAGUCAUGAUCCGGCUUCUCUCUGCAGCCACUCAUCUGAAGAACCAGAUGAGCCAGAACCAGCGUUGAUUAAGAGGACCUUUAGACAUAUACUGUGCAACACUGCAAGGCCAAAUGACUCAAUUAUAUCAAAAAGAGGUUUGCUUUUGGCACGGUGAACAUCACCGCACAUCCAGCUGGGAUAACUUUCAUUUUGGUCUCAGCUGACUGUCCUGUCAUCACCACACACACACAGACAGACCAAACACUGGGAAGCUUGCAUUCCCUGCUGUCAGUGACACCGCUGUUGUUGUAACUGAGUUAACAGAGAUACAAAUCAUGUAAGGUGCCUUGAGCUCUGAGAGGUGACAUCACUGAGUCAACCUGAUACAGGGAUAAUGCGGUGCUGCAGGGUGGGCCAGCUGUGUUCAGCUUGAGGUCAAACUGCAGCCAAACAAACUCCUAACAAUCAUUGUUUUUUGUUUCUACAUCAUUAUACUGUCUUUAUUCACUGUAACAACAGUUGCAGUUGUUUAUUGUUAUGCAUGCUUAUAUCAUAUUUCAAUAUUUAGUCCAGUUUACAUGAAACUGAGGCUGGAAAAUAGCCAUAAUGUGGGCUGUCUGUGUUAAAUAAAUCAGUAAACAAUAUGGUAUAUACAAUUCUUUACAUCGCUGCCAAUUAUGUUUCUGCAUUAUGCAAAGCUACACAAAAUCAGUCUUGUCAUUAUUAAUAUUACCACUGCUUGUUCUGUACAUAUAGUAGUGACAGCAGUGUUCAUCUCCCUAGAAAUACUUCUGUGUUACCAUGCUGUUUGUCAGUGUUGCCAAAGUGACUCCGUCCUAACAAUUGCUCCGACUUAUCAGGACUAUUUCUGCUGGGGGUUAGUCCCAAGUGACAAUACAACCCCGGCCUCACUGAUCUCAUUAGGGCUAUUUUAGUCCAUUACGUCUCUGUCAGGGACAAUUCUUCUGAUGGUUGAAGCAGGAAUGGUGGCAGCAGCUAUACUCUGAAGUCAUUCCCUACAAAAGUAAAUUGUGUAACCCAUAGAAACACGAUGCACAGCCAGCCAGCAGCCAAAUCCAUCUUCCCCACCUUACGUUACUCCUGGGAUAAUACAGAACUAAAAAGGCAGCAGAACCAGUCAAGUUUAAUCAUAUUCUUUAUUUGUGCUCCUAAAUUCCCCAGGGCUGCGUGGACCCAUGUGUUAAGACUAUAAUGUAUGGUCAGAGCAAAGAUACCGCUUACAAAACAAGUCGAGUUGGGUUUAUUUACAGCAUGCUUUUAACAAAUGGGUUCAUCGGUGGGCUUUGCAGGAACAAACAAGACAAAAAUAGAUGAAACCCAAGGACAAUCAAAACAAGAGAAGAACGAGUUUCAAGAACAGGGAUGCAAAUCUAUACGUGUGUGUAUUUUGUGUGUGUGUGUAUAAGGACAAAUUGCAGCAAUAUGUGAAGUCUGGCCACAUAUUGACCUCCACUUAAAGCUGGACAUAUCCUCAGAAUUUAGCGUGUUAUCUUCAUAAGGCACAACUUAAAUCCCAGAAUGAAAUGGAGCUAAUGUCACUAAUGUAUUGCCAUUCAAACAUAAAAUGUUUGAAUUCCUUUUUCAAACAUCAAGAAUAUUUUUUGAUGAGUAUGAUGUUUGCUUAGUUGAGAAGAUGGAAUUUGAUAGCUAUUAAUUCCAUGUUAAUUCUGGAACACUGGUGAAAAAACUGGUGAAGACUUCAAAUGAAUCCAAUAAUGAAACAUUUGUCAUUAUCUACUCACCCCAAUAUCAUUGAAAAGACAGGUUACAUUUCACUUAAGAAUGUUUGCAGGCCUACCAGUGGAUGAAAACAUGAAAAUGUGAAUCAAGGAUUGUGGUUACUGUGUGAUGUUGCAUACAGACCAGUGUGUUAAAGACAAAAAUCUGGCUGUGAAAUGUGGCAAAAACAUGAAUGCCUGUUUCACUCCUUUCUUCAGACCCUCAUUGUCAAACUGAGAGUUUCUUAUUUUUGUCCCAUUUGAUGAUCUUUGCAUAUAGAAAUUAACUGGCUGUGAUGUAAAAUUUGCAAUCACUUAUCAUGUUAUUUUUAAACAAUGUAAAUUACUGAGUCUGCAGGAUGUUAUGUUAGAUUUGAUGGUACAAAAAAUGUAUUUUAUGUGUGUUGUCUAGAACAGGCGCUGGUUUUCCAAAAGCUGUUAAAACUAUAAAACGUUAUAAAAUGAUUUUAACUAGU